rnacentral:rRNA from 1 species
GACGAACGCUGGCGGCGUGCUUAACACAUGCAAGUCGAACGGAAAGGCCCUGCGUUUGUUGGGUGCUCGAGUGGCGAACGGGUGAGUAACACGUGAGUAACCUGCCCUUGACUUUGGGAUAACUUCAGGAAACUGGGGCUAAUGCCAGAUAGGAGCUCCUACUGCAUGGGGGUGGGUGGGAAUUGUCGGCGGUUGUGGAUGGAAUCGCGGCGUAUCAGCGUGUUGGUGGGGUAGUGGCUUACCAGGGCUUUGACGGGUAGCGGGCCUGAGAGGGUGACCGGACACGUCGGGCCUGAGCUACGGCACAGCCUACUCUGGGACGCAGCAGUGCGGAAUAGUGCACAAUGGGCGGAAGCCUGAUGCAGCACCGCCGCGUGCGGGAUGACGGCCUUCGGGUUGUAAACCGCUUUCGCCUGUGACGAAGCGUGAGUGACGGUAACGGGUAAAGAAGCACCGGCUAACUACGUG